GCAUUGGUAGUUCAGUGAUAGAAUUCUCGCCUGCCACGUGGGAAACCCGGGUCCGAUCCCUGGCCAAUGCA
rnacentral:tRNA from 1 species